rnacentral:rRNA from 1 species
UCUCCUGGAAACGGGUGGUAAUGCCGGAUGCUCCAGUUGACCGCAUGGUCCUCUGGGAAAGCUUUUGCGGUAUGGGAUGGGGUCGCGUCCUAUCAGCUUGAUGGCGGGGUAACGGCCCACCAUGGCUUCGACGGGUAGCCGGCCUGAGAGGGCGACCGGCCACAUUGGGACUGAGAUACGGCCCAGACUCCUACGGGAGGCAGCAGUGGGGAAUAUUGCACAAUGGGCGCAAGCCUGAUGCAGCGACGCCGCGUGCGGGAUGACGGCCUUCGGGUUGUAAACCGCUUUUGACUGGGAGCAAGCCCUUCGGGGUGAGUGUACCUUUCGAAUAAGCACCGGCUAACUACGUGCCAGCAGCCGCGGUAAUACGUAGGGUGCAAGCGUUAUCCGGAAUUAUUGGGCGUAAAGGGCUCGUAGGCGGUUCGUCGCGUCCGGUGUGAAAGUCCAUCGCUUAACGGUGGAUCCGCGCCGGGUACGGGCGGGCUUGAGUGCGGUAGGGGAGACUGGAAUUCCCGGUGUAACGGUGGAAUGUGUAGAUAUCGGAAAAAAACA